CCUGAAUUGUUUAAUUUUUAUUUUUUAUUUCAAAGAAAAAAAGAAUUGGCACGAUUGAAGGGACGACCUGCGAUGUGGAAACGCAUGGAGCUCAUUCUGAAGGAAAUUGGAGUUAUUUUCUUUUGCAGAGCUCGGAAGGACGUGGAAUGGGAUGAGGAAAAGGAACAAUUCCACACCAAGAAUAAAGCGCCACACAGAUAAGUUGUUAAUCUAUUUGCAGGGCGGAUGUAAAGCGUAAACAGGAGGGGGCAGAGUACGGAGCUUUGAGGUUUGCCUUGGUUGACAGUUGCUCUGGGAGGUAGUUUGGUGGUAGGUCUGAUUUGUAAUGAGGGCAGGCAUGGAAAGUGUCGGGAGAGCUGACAGUUGGACGUGGUGGUUUGGUUCAGUGGUCUUUGCGAAGGAAGGAAGGUUGAGACGGUCUGCAGGUUGUUAGGCUUGUCUCUGUCCCGAGCAGCUCUUUGUUUUGAGUUGAUGUUUACAGUGCAGGUUUUGAAUGAGGAAUUUAUCAUAUUGAUAGAAACAAAAUCGUUUUUCAGGGUGAAGACCAACAAUUGUACACAACCGGCAUGCAGUUCCAAGAUGAACAGCUUCUUCUCCCUUGAGCAAUGAAGAAUAAAAGUGGAAAUGAUGUGCUGCUUCAAGAGCCAAGCAACAACUGUACAAGGAGAGUAUGUUUUAUUUACUUUGCGUUAGUCUACUUCCUCACUAACUCACUGGGUGUGCGUGGACUAACACUGAUUUGUGAUUAUUUUUGUGUACUUGGCUGUGCAUCGAGUCAAGGCAACAAUGCUGUUAAACUGAAAUGUACUUUUGAAAAAUGUGCUUUUGGUUUUUGUUUUUGACGAAGUGGGAAGUUGUUUCAAGUGUGGUUUUACUAUUUGAAUUAAACUUGUAGCAAUGUUAAAGUGUGACUACAUGGACAAGCAUACAUAACUUGAAUUCAGUCUAAGGCACUUUAAACAAUGUAGAGUAAGGUUUUCGCAUGCCAGCAAGCAAAUGUUUGGAACAGUGCUAAUGUCCUUGUUGCAGGGUUUUCACUGGUACAGCUUAGUGGCUUGUGUUGGUUGACUGCAGCGACAGUUUGUUUUUUGUGUGUUUAGAAAGGUCUGAUUUGUCACGAUGCUGCGCAGGCAUGGGAAGUGUUCGUAGGUCUGAUGUUGGACAGAAGUCGCUGCAGUCAAGUGUUGUCGGUGGACUUGCGAUGGUGUGGAGUUUUUUGGCUUGUUGUAGUUUUAAGGAUGGCACUUUGAAAACUGGAGUGAGCAGGGUUUUGAGGGAGGACUUCAUAGUAUUAAUUAUUUUCCCCCCCUUCUGCCUUAGGGUGGAGGAGAUGGCAGAUUGGGUGAGAGGCGCCAAGAUGAACUGGACCAGGUAUUUGCAUCAAGAUUGAAGGGAUGACCUGAGACAUGGCAACGCAUGGUGCUCGUUCUGAAGGAAAUCAGAGGUUGGAUGAGGAUGAGACGUUUGGGUGAGGUGGCAAGAAAGAGGACUAGAAUUGGGUAAUUGGUGCAAAUGUGCAUAAAUAAAGGUGACAUGCUUCAGAGUAAUGGUGUGUGCUUGUUUUGUAGAAUGGAAGAGGAGCUGGAUGAAAGAGAAGCCAAUGAAACACAUUAACUGGAAAAAAACAAGAAAUGAAGUGGCACGCUUUUUUUUCCUCUAUUUUCUUCUUUUGCAGGGCUCGGAAAGGACGUGGAAUGGGAUGAGGAAAAGGAAGAAUUCCGCACCAAGAAUAAAGCGGCACACAGAUAAGUUGUUUGUUCAUCUAUUUGCAGGCUGGAUGUAAAGAGUAAACGGGAGGGGGCAGAGUACGGAGCUUUGAGGUUUGCUUUGGUUGACAGUUGCUAUGGAAGGUAGUUUGGCGGUAGGUGUGAUUGUAACGAGGGCAGGCAUGGAAAGUGUCGGUAGAGUGGGUAGUUGGACGUGGUGGUUUGGUACAGUGGUUGUUGCGAAGGAAGGAAGGAAGGAAGGUUGAGAUGGUCUGCGGGUUGUUUGGCUUGUUUCAGUCCCGAGCAGCUCUUUGUUUUGAGUUGACGUUUACAGUGUAGACUUUAAAUGACUUAUGAAGUUGAUCAAAACCAGCGAAUAUUUGUAUUUUUUAUUGGAUUUUUUUUCAGGGUGAAUACCAACAAUUAUACACAACCGGCACAAAGUUCCAACAAGAACGGCUUCUUCUCCCUUGAGGCAAGUUUGCAAAUUAUCAAUUGCAACGUCACUUCCGAUCGCCCUCGCAGUGGGUGGAGUGGCAAAUGUUUAUUUUUUUUAAGUGAGUUUGUCUUCUUGGUCAGCGGUAACAGCUAGUUUGUACUCGUGAGAGAAAGCUAACAUUUGUAUGGAUUUGCAACCCUGUUGCACCUUCUCCAGUUUAGUCAGACUUUAGAAAUAUUUGUAAUUUAACUCUGAGAUACAAUGUAGUUACUCUACAUAUUGGAGACACAUUUCAGAAUUUGACUUCCUGAAUUGUUUGUUUUUUUAUUUUUGAAAAGUAUUUGCAUCAAGAUUGAAGGCAUCACCUGCGAUAUGGAAACGCAUGCAGCUCAUUCUGAAGGAAAUGGGAGGUAAAAUCCCAGAUGUGACAGGUGCAUUUGUUUCUUAGUUUUGUGAUGCGCCCUGCACACAAUACCAACAGCGUAUUAAAGGUUAUUAAAAGAACACUUUGGUGUAU